rnacentral:rRNA from 1 species
GUGGGGAAUAUUGGACAAUGGGCGAAAGCCUGAUCCAGCCAUGCCGCGUGUGUGAAGAAGGUCUUCGGAUUGUAAAGCACUUUAAGUUGGGAGGAAGGGCAGUAAGCUAAUACCUUGCUGUUUUGACGUUACCGACAGAAUAAGCACCGGCUAACUUCGUGCCAGCAGCCGCGGUAAUACGAAGGGUGCAAGCGUUAAUCGGAAUUACUGGGCGUAAAGCGCGCGUAGGUGGUUUGAUAAGUUGGAUGUGAAAGCCCCGGGCUCAACCUGGGAAUUGCAUCCAAAACUGUCUGACUAGAGUAUGGCAGAGGGUGGUGGAAUUUCCUGUGUAGCGGUGAAAUGCGUAGAUAUAGGAAGGAACACCAGUGGCGAAGGCGACCACCUGGGCUAAUACUGACACUGAGGUGCGAAAGCGUGGGGAGCAAACAGGAUUAGAAACCCUAGUAGUCC